rnacentral:rRNA from 1 species
GACGAGGGGUCCAAGCGUUGUUCGGAAUCAUUGGGCGUAAAGCGGGUGUAGGUGGCUCUAUAAGUCAGAAGUGAAAGCCCCCGAGCUUAACUUGGGAAGUGCUUUUUGAUACUGUAGAGCUUGAAUGUGGGAGAGGAUCGUGGAAUUCCAGGUGUAGUGGUGAAAUACGUAGAUAUCUGGAGGAACACCGGUGGCGAAGGCGGCGAUCUGGCCCAACAUUGACACUGAGACCCGAAAGCGUGGGGAUCGAAAC